GGAAGUGAGAUUUUCUCACUUUCUCUACUUCCUGUACUGUGCGGAGGAAGUAAUUUCGACACUGUAGCGCUUAACACUAUAGCGCUAAACACUGUAGCGAAAGUAAGUAAAACUUAAAACCCGUCCUCUUGUUUUAUCAUCAUCCGCAACAUCCAAGCCCUAGCUUCUCGCCUCUUCAAGAAAGUUCUAUCAGGUGAUCGUCAUCCCUCAUCUGCGAGCAUCGAUUGGCAACGGAGACUCAACGGCCGACCAACAACACCACGGGUAAGUUCGCCCUCUCUUCUCAAAUUCUCUUUCUUCUCAAAUUCUCUCUCUCCUCGUAUAUGAAGAUUUUGCCCUAGAAUCUACAAUUUCUCUUCCUGAAUCAUUUUUAUAAGUGAAAUAUCUUUUUUUCUUUGUGUAAUUUCUAUGAGAAGUUCUGGUUUUGGAUUUCUUUUAUUUUUUAUUUGGUAAUAGUUGCAUCAAUAUGGGCCUCAAUUUCAUCUAUACUCGGUCCAAUACUCGGUCCCUAUGUAAUCACUUCUAUCCAGUUAUGCUCUGUUUGUCUUCGGUACCAUUUGCUUUCCGAAUUCUGAUUCAAUGAACAACAACGAAAAUUGUUUUCUCAGUGAGCUUGAUUUCAUAGUCUUCUGGGUUUCAAUCUGGGUCUUCCAAUUCCUCAACUAUUUUUCAAGAACAAAUUCGUACUUGAGUUCUGCUCUAACUUGUACUUCUAAGGUAUUUAAAGUUCAUUUCAUUUUCUGUUCUUUUAUUGCACAUAUGUCUUAUAUAUGGUUAAUUUUGAUUAUUUGAUUGUGUUUCAUGUUCGAAUUGAAGUAAAAGGUUCAUGCUUGCAAGGCUGUAUUGUUAAUUUGUUAUUCUAGAAUUUAUUUUACAAAUAAUGGCUUCAUCUGCUACUUUUUAAACCUCUUUUUUCAGUUUUAAUUCAUGUUCAGGAUUUAUUCUGAUUUGGGUAAUAAUGAAAUUGCUUGAAAUUUAUAAACAACAUUUUCCUUUUUGCGACUCUGUUCCUUUUUUCCAUCCAUGCUUUAUAGCUAUUCAAGGUCGAAAGACACCUAUACUUGUAUUGAUUUACUCUAAAUCUGUGGUGAUGAGUAGUUUUAACAAAGAACUUUCCACAUUUGACAAUCAUUAUAUCUUAUUUUGCGAGUAAAUGAAAAUAAAAUCAAGGUUGUUUGCUUCUCAAAAUAUAACUAUGUGAGAUGGGUUUUGCUAUCUAUUAUAUAAUGUUGAUUUCUACAGGAACUAGUGUUUCAUCACAUGUUCAUUUUGCCCAUAUAUAAAGGCAGUAUGGUUUAUAACAUAAUGAAAAGCUUGCUUUUGCAAGUUUGACAGCUUAUAUAUAGUGAUUUUGAGACAAUUUGUUGGUUAAUAUAGCUAAACCUAGACCUUCAAUCAUCUAAGUAUUUAAUUCAUAUUAACAUCUAAAUUUUACCAUGAAGAGUUUUAAAAGUAAAUGUGCAAAAUGAGUGAAUAAUUUACUAUUUCUUCUGAUUUUUGAAGGUGGAUAAUUUAUUCAUCCUUCUACUCAAGUCGAAAUUGAAGUCUACAUUAGGAAUAGAAGCCUAGAGGUUCUUCCAUCUUGAUGACAGUAUGUUAGCUCCAACUGUCCAUACUACCCAUGAUUGGGUCUAAUCUUUAUUUGAGUGGAUGCUUCAUUAACAAGUGUAGAACUAAGUUAAAAAGGUCUGAAAUUAAACAGAUAAAAUAACAUAUACCAUCUUCAUCAAUCUUAUGCUGGCAAUUUGGUAAAACAUGGAUAAAUUUCAGAUUUUCUUAUAUUUGAACAGUCAUUCUAAACUUGAAUGGUGAGGCAAGCACAUAACCAGACAGCAUCAUUAUUGUGUUUAGUUACUGUAAUAUAGAGAUUUUGUUCCUUAUAUUAUUUUACAGUAUUAUAUGUUCAAUGCUAGGUUAUUUUAUUCGGAUCUAAUAAGUUGUAGAAGUGUGUUAAUUGUUGUACUGAGAAAUGUGAUAAAACGUUGUUUUGGUGUAUUAAAAAUGUGUUGGCCGAUCCUUAAGUUGAUGCCUCCUUACAAACUAAGUGUACAAACACUCAUCGUUAUUGCUUGUUGCACAUUACAUAAUUUUGUUCGUAACGAAACCCGUUUAGAUCGUCUUUUUGAUGAAUAUGGGGAUGAGAAUGCCAAUCUUCAAGAAGAAAAAGAAGAAGAAGUGGAGCUAGGUGGUACUUCUCAGAGAGUAAAUGUUACACAUGAGCUAAUUCAUGAGUUGUGCAACAACUAUUGUGAUAGAUAAAUCACUUCUAUUUGCUCAUUAUAAUAUUGUAACUUUUAUUAGGAUUAUUUUUCUAUUUUUCAACUUGGAUAUUGUAAUAUUGUCACUUUGGAUUAAUUUUCUAUUUGGAUAUUGCAAUAUUGUCACUUUUAUUAGGAUUAA